ensembl:lncRNA
CUCGGAGAUGAUGCGAUGCACAUGUUGAUAUGUAAAUAGUGAAAUCAGUGAACUUGUGUAAGAAAAUUACAUUUACACCAGCCAUAGAGUUGUUUCAGUGCAGUACGAUAUUAUACAAACGGUUCAAUUUUAUUAGGGAAAUGUGUGUUUGUUCCGCUCCUUCACUAGGAUGGACAACCACAGAGGCCACACCUCCUUCACUGUCACCAACAGGUACAGAGGACACGCCUCCUUCACUAGGAAUUACAGAUACAGUGGACACGCCUCCUUCACUAGGACUUACAGGUACAGAGGACACGCCUCCUUCACUAGGACUUACAGGUACAGAGGACACGCCUCCUUCACUAGGACUUACAGGUACAGAGGACACGCCUCCUUCACUAGGACUUACAGGUGCAGUGGACACGCCUCCUUCACUGCAACCAACAGGUACAGAGGACACGCCUCCUUCACUAGGACUUACAGGUACACAGGACACGCCUCCUUCACUAGGACUUACAGGUGCAGUGGACACGCCUCCUUCACUAGGAC